GGGCCCGUAGCUCAGUGGCAGAGCAGGGGACUUUUAAUCCUCGUGUCCUGGGUUCGAAUCCCAGCGGGCCCU
rnacentral:tRNA from 1 species